rnacentral:tRNA from 1 species
GGGGCUGAAUGGGGUACUGGUGUCCUCCACGGUCUUCAAAACCGCUUGUGACCAGCGUGCCUGGUCAGGUGGGUUCGAUUCCCACGCAGUCCCGCCA